rnacentral:lncRNA from 1 species
AGUGCAGAAAUGGGUAGGGAGACGCUUGAUUCCUGCCAGUCUCAAGUCUCAGAUUCCUCAGGUUUAAGCUCACUCAACUUUACUAGUUCUUCUGUCUAGUACAUGGUCCUACCACAGCUACACAAUGUGUUGUAGCUUUUAUUGGUACUUCAUACAUAAACUCCUUUGGCCUGCUUCUCAUCAUGAACUGUCUUCAGACAGACAAAGGAGAACAUGAAUGGGCCCCAUUCUAGAAACAUUCCUAAAUUUGAGAAGACCAAGUUGGGAUUUACUGAAAGACCUGGCUUAGGCAAGCAAUGAUUUGACAUUACCAUUCUUAAUCAUGAUAUUACCCUAAAGGUUAGACUCCAUGUAGAAUGAAUGAUUAAAACAAUUUAUGCUACUUCCUAUACAGUCUGCUAGAAUACAGCACACAAAACUGAAAAAUACAUCUCCUUAUACAUAAACCUAGACAAGCAGAGAACAGCUACAGAGAUGGCUAAUUGUUAUGGUAGGCAUGAGACGGAGAGAAAGGGGAGGAUGCACCAGCCAGGGAGAAAUGAGGUGGAACUGCAGUUUGGUUGUUAUCUGGAUGAUUACACUGGUUUCCCUGCAAGUUUCCCAUGAUCUUGCCAGGUGUCUCCAUCAUCAUCAUGGUCAAUGGUCAAUGGUCAAUUGAUUUUAAAUCCUCACAAUAUGGGCACAACUUCCCUGGUAAGGCCACAUAUUUCUCAGCUUUAAAAACGUUUGUUUGUUUGUUUGUUUGUUUUAUAUCCAGGAAAGAUGCAGAUACUAAUACUAACUCAUUUAUAAAUGCUGCCUUCUAUUCUCUUGAACUAAACACAAAUGAAAAAUAGUAAGCACAUUAGAGUCCAUUUCAUCAAAGUUGAACUCAGGGAACAGUCUAUUGCCCAGGAUGCCAGAAGCCUUGGGUUUCUUUAACCUCUGGCACUGUAAACAAACAAAAACAACAUAUGCACUUGGGAAAUCUUUGCAGAGUGGAAUGUUUUUAUAUACAAAACAUAGAAAGUAUUAAGCCUAAAAUACAAAAAUACUUUGCAUACUCUAUUUAAACCACACACACGAUGAAUAUUAAAAUCUAUAAAAUAUAAGUCUGAAAAUUCUAGUCAUUGUUUUUAUAGCUCCAAGUAGAGCUAAGUUGCUCUAAGGUACUUCAUUUAACCCAAUUGACUUCUUAUCAAAACAGGGGGCUCACUCCAAAACAGACAAGCAAAGGUAAAAGCCAAGUGAAACGGUGCCUCAUGUACCGUAGAUGGCAUUCCUGCUAUCUUUGUGGAAGUGGGCCUUAGGGAGUUUUUACCAAUUCAGAAGAAAAAUAACCAGCCACCAUGCCCCUACUGUAAAGUCUACAGCCUCUGCCCCUCUUCCUCUUUGAGGCAUCUAUCUCAAAGCCCAUCAAACGGUAUUCAAGCAAAGAGGGACACCAUGAGAGAUACUCUUCCUACAUUCAGUUGAGCAAAUCGCAGGCUCAACAGGGAUGUGAAGCUAUGUUUACAGUACACAGAAAACAAGGGACCUGUUAAAAAGACAGCUCAACAGCAGGGUAAAAUAGCCCACUUUGGGGGGAAAGGCAUAUUUUUUGCAUGUACAAACAAACCUAUACACGUGAAUAUUUACAUUGGGUAGAAAACCUUUACUUUUCUUCUUACUGCUUUCUUUUGCUUUCUAAUUAUCAUAAGCAAUAUUAAAAAUAUAAUAAAUAUAU